CCUACGGGAGGCAGCAGUGGGGGAUAUUGCACAAUGGGGGAAACCCUGAUGCAGCGACGCCGCGUGGGUGAAGAAGUAUUUCGGUAUGUAAAGCCCUAUCAGCAGGGAAGAAAGAAGACGGUACCUGACUAAGAAGCCCCGGCUAACUACGUGCCAGCAGCCGCGGUAAUACGUAGAGGGCGAGCGUUAUCCGGAUUCACUGGGUGUAAAGGGAGCGUAGACGGCCGUGCAAGCCAGGAGUGAAAGCCCGGGGCCCAACCCCGGGACUGCUCUUGGAACUGUGCGGCUGGAGUGCGGGAGGGGCAGGCGGAAUUCCUGGUGUAGCGGUGAAAUGCGUAGAUAUCAGGAGGAACACCGGCGGCGAAGGCGGCCUGCUGGACCGCGACUGACGUUGAGGCUCGAAAGCGUGGGGAGCGAACAGGAUUAGAUACCCCUGUAUC
rnacentral:rRNA from 1 species